rnacentral:rRNA from 1 species
AUGCGUCAAUAUUGGUGGGGAGUGGAGAAUGUGAAGAAGAAAAUGGCAUGGACAAGUUGGGACAAAAUGAUUCUCCCCAAAGCUAUGGGGGGCAUGGGCUUCAGGGAUAUGCGAGCGUUCAACCAAGCGCUGCUGGCCAAGCAAGCGUGGAGGCUCCUUGACUCUCCUGACAGCCUAGUUGCGAGACUAAUGAAGGCAAAAUAUUACCCUCAAGGUCAGUUACUGGAUACAGUAUUUUCAAUCUCUGGAUCAGCCGUGUGGAAAGGCAUUUUGCAUGGUUUGGAGCUGCUCAAAAAAGGUGUCAUAUGGCGGGUGGGGGACGGGGGGCAUAUUCGGACAUGA